UACGUAGGGACCAAGCGUUGUUCGGAUUUACUGGGCGUAAAGGGCUCGUAGGCGGCCAACUAAGUCAGACGUGAAAUCCCUCGGCUUAACCGGGGAACUGCGUCUGAUACUGGAUGGCUUGAAUCCGGGAGAGGGAUGCGGAAUUCCAGGUGUAGCGGUAGAAAUGCGUAGAUAUCUGGAGGAACACCGGUGGCGAAGGCGGCAUCCUGGACCGGCAUUGACGCUGAGGAGCGAAAGCCAGGGGAGCAAACGGG
rnacentral:rRNA from 1 species